UUGUUGGGGUUGUAGGACACUCUAUACGGAGUUACAAAAGAACAUGUUAGACGAAUCAUCUGGAAAGAUGAAUCAAAGAAGGUAAUAAUCCUGUAGUCGAAAACAUAUUCUCUCUUGAGUGAAUCCUGAGUACGACGGAGCACGUGAAAUUCCGUCGGAAUCUGGGAGGACCAUCUCCUAAGGCUAAAUACUCUCUAGUGACCGAUAGUGAACCAGUACCGUGAGGGA
rnacentral:rRNA from 1 species